UACGUAGGGGGCAAGCGUUAUCCGGAUUUACUGGGUGUAAAGGGAGCGUAGACGGCAAUACAAGUCGGAAGUGAAAUACCCGGGCUCAACCUGGGAACUGCUUUGGAAACUGUAUGGCUGGAGUGCUGGAGAGGUAAGCGGAAUUCCUAGUGUAGCGGUGAAAUGCGUAGAUAUUAGGAGGAACACCAGUGGCGAAGGCGGCUUACUGGACAGUAACUGACGUUGAGGCUCGAAAGCGUGGGGAGCAAACA
rnacentral:rRNA from 1 species